rnacentral:lncRNA from 1 species
ACAACAACAAAAUUCUAAAUCUAAUAGAAUACUAAUUAAAGUCUAAUUACACCAUAAUAAUGCUAAACAAGCUUUAAUCAAAUUCAAAGAAACUUCAAAAGAAUUACAAAGAAACAAUAAGAAAUCUUAAAGAAAUAUUAGAAUGAUGUCAAAUAUAUCUCAAAUAUAUCUCAAUUCAAUCUUAAUUUAAUCCUAAUUGAAAUCCUAUUGGACUUCAUUCAAACUUUAGGCCAAAAAUUAACUAAAUCUUAAAUCUUAAAUAAACUCAAAUAAAAUCCUAAAUCCUAAAUCAAACCCUAAUCAAAUCCUAAACCCUAAAUCAAAUCCUAACCAAUCCUAAACCAAAUCCCAAAAAAAUUUUAACUCUAAUAAAAUCCUAACUAAAUCCUAAAUCCAAUCCUAACGAAUCCUAAAUCAAACCCUAAAUCAAAACGUAAAUCCUAAAUUAAAUUCUAAUCCUAAAUCAAAUCCUAAUCAAAUGAUAAAUCCUAAAUCAAACCCUAAUCCUAAGUCAAGCCUUAACCAAACUCUAAAUCCUAAACUAAAUCUUAAUUUUAAAUCAAACCCUAACCAAAUUCUAAUCCUAAAUCAAACCCUAAAUACUAAAUCAAAUCCUAGUAAUUUGUACAAUAGAUUUACACCUCAAUAACUAAUGAAUGAAUUAUUGAUCUUAAUUUAAAAUUUUCAUGCUUUUUAACAAUUAAGUUGAAAAAAAGUACAAAUGAAUUUGAAAAGGAUCAAAAUUACCAAAUAGACGAUAGCUUCAAAAACGUGCUUGGAUAUUAGUCAGCCUCCUCCUCCAACUUUAAUACCAAUCUUCUAAAGUCAAAAUUUCUCUUUUUUAACAUUAAAUUAAUUUCAAAAUUCUCAUACACAUAGAAAAACAAGUCUAAUAUCUUUUCACAUAAAUUUCACUCCAAUCCAAUUAGUAGAUUGUAAGAAAUCUUAAAAACCCUCUCUAGACCUAAAAUUCUACUUUCUGAGAUCUAGACCCACUUAAACCUCAAUAAUCCUUAAUUCAAUCGUUAGAUCGAGCUAAGAUUCAAAAUACAUAUUAAGCACAACUAUGACC